rnacentral:rRNA from 1 species
UUUUUAGACCUCCCUGGAGGAGUUUGCCACCUAACCGAUAACCCUCGAAACACCUUUCCAGCUUUUGAAAAAUCAGCAUGUAUACCAUCGUCGUCAGUCUACCUCUCAAGAGAAGUAUACUAAAUGAACUUAAUACACUCACUACGUCAGAUCGAGGUGCAGCUAAUAAACUGGGGGUUGGUGAACUACAAUAUUUCCCCAAAUCACUACACAAAACUAAUUAUGAACAGCACUAUGAAACUAGUACUCAAAACAGGAUUCAGCAGUAAUUACCAAAAGAAAAUGGUUAUGAACCCCUACAGCUCUAAAAUGCGC